rnacentral:lncRNA from 1 species
UGAUGUUUGUUAGUAGAUGUAGCGUUUGUAUAAAAUGUGGAGUUACUUACCAGGUGUGAUGUUUGUCAUGAUGUAUUGACGAGAGGUUUGUUUCAGAGGGAGUUGUAAGGCGGGAUGGUUGGGGAGUAUGAGAUUGGAGAGAGCUUGAAUGCUUGGAGGGUGAGAUAUAAGAUCGGCUCUGCUAUAGCAAGAAUUUGACAGACGGGUUGGUAAGGCGCGGAUUACAGGUUUCCGAGCUCCGACUUUGGCAUUCUGAAUUGUGAUCUUUGCGUGCUUAUUUUUUAAAGAUAUUAGGGUUUGGAGUCUGUGAUUACAUUCAAACUUUUAGUCCGUUCUUGUUGUGCAAUUGGCUUAUAGCUAGGGCGUUAUCUUCUUGGGCCUAUUGCAGAAUCGACCUCUUGAAUCUCUUUUUGUACAAGCCAGAGACCUCCUACUUUGGAAUUAAUUGUAACUCAUUACUCUUACGUGAAAGGGAAGCUUGCUCUUGAGGUUCCUGUGAAGGUAAGCCUUUUUCAAGUUGUGCGUUAUUUUGGCAACUUCGGGCCUCUCCAUGUUUGUGUAUAAUGGGUUUCAAAAGUAAUCUGUUACUUUGUGUUUUGAUUUCAAUCUAAAAAAGCUUCCUUUGGCAUUUCUCUUGAUUUUAUUCA